CCGGCCAAGGGGCCCAAGCCGGAGAAGCCCCCGACCAAGGGCCACGGCCACAAGCCGGAGAAGCCGCCCAAGGAGCACAAGCCGACUCCGCCCACCUACACCCCGAGCCCCAAGCCCACGCCGCCGCCGGCUACUCCCAAGCCGACGCCGCCCACCUACACGCCGAGCCCUAAGCCCAAGUCGCCGGUCUACCCUCCCCCGCCGAAAGCCAGUACUCCUCCGACCUACACCCCGAGCCCCAAGCCUCCGGCGACCAAGCCGCCUACCUACCCGACCCCCAAGCCACCAGCUACCAAGCCUCCGACACCUCCUGUGUACACUCCGAGCCCCAAACCACCGGUUACAAAGCCUCCUACACCCAAGCCGACCCCGCCGGUGUACACGCCGAACCCCAAGCCACCGGUUACCAAGCCUCCGACACACACGCCGAGCCCCAAGCCUCCGACAUCCAAGCCGACUCCGCCGGUGUACACACCGAGCCCCAAGCCACCGAAGCCGUCCCCGCCGACGUACACGCCGACCCCGAAGCCACCGGCUACCAAGCCGCCCACCUCAACUCCGACGCACCCUAAGCCGACGCCGCACACGCCUAUCCCCAAGCCCACGCCGCCAACCUACAAGCCGGCACCGAAGCCGACGCCGCCGGCGCCCACCCCGCCGACAUACACGCCGCCGGUGUCGCACACCCCCAGCUCGCCGCCGCCGCCGCCGCCGCCGCCUUACUACUAGAC
rnacentral:lncRNA from 1 species